rnacentral:sRNA from 1 species
AGUGAACUUCGUUUGCAGUGAAAAUCCUUUUAAGGCUUUUUCUGCCUCAAAAAGAUUGUAGCGUAAAAGCCCAACCCUUG